GCUUUGCAAGAAAACACCGGCUUUGCUUUUAUGUUUUGUCGGGGACAGGCGGGUUAUAGCCCAUGAAAUUGUUAGUGGACCAAGAGUUGCGACGAGCAAUAAAUGAUGGAAAUGAAGGCUGGCAAUGAGGCUCUGGAUUAAAAGUCAACCUGGGACUAGGACAAAGUGAGCAGGAACAGCGCUGCUGAUGCGUGUAUCCUGUUACGAGGAUGAGUUUCCCGAGUUGGCACCUGCCGGACCAGCGUGUGCUCUGUCAGGUCUAAGGCCUUACCCCGAGAUUUUGCUUGUGCCUGCUGAUGAAAUGUUCUCUUUCCUCAAGUAACAGAUUUCUAUUUGUGUUUUCUGAACUUAACCAAUUUACCUUCAUGGGCUUUCCUGGCGCUAUCGUUACCUAACAUGCAAGUUUCUUCAGUCUGCUUCUUACGUCGAGACAAUGCAGGGCAUGGAAAGCUCCAGUUCUGGCAGCCUUCCACUUCCAUCCCACACUGAUCACUUUACAUCUCUCUGUAUUCUCUCCUCACACUUACUUGGAGUCAUCAUGACCAGACUGCCUCUACAACCAGAAGGAAGAAAGUGAAAGGAAACAUGAUGUAAAUGGACAUCUUCAGCAAAAGGAUGAGUAGCAUGGCCCGAGUUCUACCACCAUCAGUGCAAGGAACACCAUUUCAGGUAAUAGCUGUAGGACCUUUCCACAGUGAUCACUUUCUCUUCGUUUAACCUCUGCAGAAUAAAACAGGUCCUUUCCACA
rnacentral:lncRNA from 1 species